AAAGCACUUUUAUUACGUGGGGGAGAGGGGCGUUAGGGUGUGGUUUGGGACUCCUUGUGUUUUUAUCUGUAAAGGUGUAUAUUUUAAAGCUAGAUGGCUGAGUCCUGUGAGGGCUGUCAUGUUGUUUUCCAGACAUCUUCUCCAGGAGACGCUUCAUGUCUAUUAUCCUGUUCAACUGCCUCUGGCUGUUUGUCCCAAUGGGCACCCUAUGUAGUGUGAUACGUUUGAACAGGGUUCAUAGAGUUCUGGUCAGAAGUAGUGCACUAUAUAGGGUAUAGUGUGCCCUUUGGGACAUAGCUUCUUACUUAUGUCCAGCCCUACACUCUAGGUUGAACCCUAACCCCUACACUCUAGGUUGAACCCUAACACCUACACCCUAGGUUGAACCCUAACCCCCUACACUCUAGGUUGAACCCUAACCCCCUACACUCUAGGUUGAACCCUAACCCCCUACACUCUAGGUUGAACCCUAACCCCCUACACCCUAGGUUGAACCCUAACCCCCUACACUCUAGGUUGAACCCUAACCCCCUACACUCUAGGUUGAACCCUAACCCCUACACCCUAGGUUGAACCCUAACCCCCUACACCCUAGGUUGAACCCUAACCCCCUACACCCUAGGUUGAACCCUAACCUCCUACAUCCUAGGUUGAACCCUAACCCCCUACACUCUAGGUUGAACCCUAACCCCCUACACCCUAGGUUGAACCCUAACCCCCUACACUCUAGGUUGAACCCUAACCCCCUACACUCUAGGUUGAACCCUAACCCCCUACACUCUAGGUUGAACCCUAACCCCCUACACUCUAGGUUGAACCCUAACCCCCUACACUCUAGGUUGAACCCUAACCCCCUACACUCUAGGUUGAACCCCCUACACUCUAGGUUGAACCCUAACCCCCUACACUCUAGGUUGAACCCCCUACACUCUAGGUUGAACCCCCUACACUCUAGGUUGAACCCUAACCCCCUACACUCUAGGUUGAACCCUAACCCCCUACUGUAGCUCAGUUGGUAGAGCAUGGCGCUUGUAACGCCAGGGUAGUGGGUUCGAU